rnacentral:rRNA from 1 species
UACGAAGGGGGCUAGCGUUGUUCGGAAUUACUGGGCGUAAAGCGCACGUAGGCGGAUCGAUCAGUCAGGGGUGAAAUCCCAGGGCUCAACCCUGGAACUGCCUUUGAUACUGUCGAUCUGGAGUAUGGAAGAGGUGAGUGGAAUUCCGAGUGUAGAGGUGAAAUUCGUAGAUAUUCGGAGGAACACCAGUGGCGAAGGCGGCUCACUGGUCCAUUACUGGACGCUGAGGUGCGAAAGCGGUGGGGAGCAAACAGGG